GAUGAACGCUGGCGGCGUGCCUAAUACAUGCAAGUCGAGCGAACAGAUGAGGAGCUUGCUCCUCUGACGUUAGCGGCGGACGGGUGAGUAACACGUGGAUAACCUACCUAUAAGACUGGGAUAACUUCGGGAAACCGGAGCUAAUACCGUAUAAUAUAUUGAACCGCAUGGUUCAAUAGUGAAAGACGGUUUUGCUGUAUCUUCUCGCUGGAUCUGCGCCGCAUUAGGGAGUUGUUAAGCUAACGGCUUACCAAGGCAACGAUGCGUAGCCGACCGGAGAGGCUGGUAGCCCACACUGGAACGUGACCACGGUCCAUACUCCUACGGGAGGCAGCAGUAGGGAAUCUUCCGCAGUGGGCGAAAGCCUGACGGAGCAACGCCGCGUGAGUGAUGAAGGUCUUCGGAUCGUAAAACUCUGUUAUUAGGGAAGAACAAAUGUGUAAGUAACUAUGCACGGCUUGACGGUACCGAAUCAGAAAGCCACGGCUAACUACGUG
rnacentral:rRNA from 1 species